rnacentral:rRNA from 1 species
GACGAACCGUGCGAACGUUAUUCGGAAUCACUGGGCUUAAAGCGCGUGUAGGCGGGACGGCACGUCGGUCGCUGAAAUCCCCCGGCUUAACCGGGGAACUGGCGUCGAUACGACCGCCCUGGAGGGCGUAGGGGGACCUGGAACUUCCGGUGGAGCGGUGAAAUGCGUUGAGAUCGGAAGGAACGCCCGUGGCGAAAGCGAGGUCCUGGACGCCUACUGACGCUGA